rnacentral:tRNA from 1 species
UUAGUGGUAAAACUAGCCUUCCAAGCUAACGAAU